AUUGAACGCUGGCGGCAGGCCUAACACAUGCAAGUCGAGCGGAUGAAGGGAGCUUGCUCCUGGAUUCAGCGGCGGACGGGUGAGUAAUGCCUAGGAAGCUGCCUGGUAGUGGGGGAUAACGUCCGGAAACGGGCGCUAAUACCGCAUACGUCCUGAGGGAGAAAGUGGGGGAUCUUCGGACCUCACGCUAUCUGAUGAGCCUAGGUCGGAUUAGCUAGUUGGUGGGGUAAAGGCCUACCAAGGCGACGAUCCGUAACUGGUCUGAGAGGAUGAUCAGUCACACUGGAACUGAGACACGGUCCAGACUCCUACGGGAGGCAGCAGUGGGGAAUAUUGGACAAAGGGCGAAAGCCUGAUCCAGCCAUGCCGCGUGUGUGAAGAAGGUCUUCGGAUUGUAAAGCACUUUAAGUUGGGAGGAAGGGCAGUAAGUUAAUACCUUGCUGUUUUGACGUUACCAACAGAAUAAGCAACGGCUAACUUCGUG
rnacentral:rRNA from 1 species